rnacentral:rRNA from 1 species
UUGAAAGGGAAACGAUUGAAGUCAGUCGGACCCGCGGGNAAUCAACCUUUCGAGUGGGGGUUUUGGAGUUUUGAAGAGUGUCAAAACCUUUGAGAUUUCAAAAUUUUCGCUCCUUUGGUGUACUUUCUCGUGGGUAGGUUAACAUCGAUUUUGAUCAUCAUAAAAAGAUUGGAGGAAUGUAGCUUCGAUCUUGUAUUGAAGUGUUAUAGCCUUUGGUAAACGUGAUGAUUAGGAUCGAGGAUUGCAACGAAUACCCUUUUGGGCUAUCCGCCUGAUCUCUGAUACGUGGCCUUGGUAUCGAAAGCGUGCUUAUGGUAUUGAGGUAUUACGGUCAAAAGGUUAGAACGGAUUACAUUCGUUAAGGAUGUUGACGUA